rnacentral:rRNA from 1 species
CGUAGGGGCAAGCGUUGUCCGGAAUUAUUGGGCGUAAAGGGCGCGCAGGCGGCCUCUUUUUUAAGUCAGUUGUGAAAGGUCCCGGCUCAACCGGGGAGUUGCAGCUGAAACUGGGGGCUUGAGUGCAGGAGAGGAGAGUGGAAUUCUCGGUGUAGCGGUGGAAUGCGUAGAGAUCGGGAGGAACACCAGUGGCGAAAGGCGGCUCUCUGGCCUGUUACUGACGCUGAGGCGCGAAAGCGUGGGGAGCGAACAGGAUU